rnacentral:rRNA from 1 species
GACGAACGCUGGCGGCGUGCUUAACACGUGCAAGUCGAACGGAAAGGCCCUGCUGUUGUGGGGUGCUCGAGUGGCGAAAGGGUGAGUAACACGUGAGUAACCUGCCCUUGACUUAGGGGUAACUUCAGGAAACUGGGGCUAAUACCGGAUAGGAGCUCCUGCUGCAUGGUGGGGGUUGGAAAGUUUCGGCGGUUGGGGAUGGACUCGCGGCUUAUCAGCUUGUUGGUGGGGUAGUGGCUUACCAAGGCUUUGACGGGUAGCCGGCCUGAGCGGGUGACAGGCCACAUCGGGCCUGGGAUACGGCCCAGACUACACCGGUAGGCAGCGGUGGGGAAUAUUGCACAAGGGGCGGAAGCCUGACGUAGCAACGCCGCGUGCGGGAUGACGGCAUUCGGGUUGUAACCCGCUUUCGCCUGUGCCGAAGCGUGAGUGACGGUAAUGGGUAAAGAAGCACCGGCUAACUACGUG